GGGCCGCCCACCCCAAGUGUGCCCCUGCAUCCCACGGGCCACCCCACUCGAGCCUGGUGUGAAAAUGCCACUGCAUUAAAAGGUGUGAUUGAGUUGAUGGCCUUCCAAAUGCCAAAGGCUUGAGAAUUGGAGGACAUCUUGACCUCCCAACCCCCCUUUGGACACCAUAUUUGGAAGUUAAAACUUCUCUCCAUAAACUAUUGACUUCAACUCCAAAUCUCCAUAACCAUUUACCAAGGAGAGCCACAUUCAUUCCUCUAACACUCUAAUUCCUGUGCCGCCUUUUGAUAAAGGUUUACAAACAUCUUCCCAUUUAAGCAGAUGGAAUUUGUGCGUCUCUUCUACUCCGUGCCAUAGAAGGUCACGUCUUAAUUUCUCUAGGCUGUCUAGGACUAAUUUCAGGCUUUGGAAUAGAGUCAUGAAGUAAAGUGGGAGAUUAGAUAAAGUUGCUUUUAUGAGUAAAAUGCAACCUGCCCACGAUAGAUGCCGAACUUGCCACUUGGAUAGUCCUUUGGAACCUUUCUAUGACCUUGUUCUAGAGAUGUUUCGCUGGCUUUCCUAUGCAUAGCAGGAGCCCCAAGUGAGAAGAAGGAAACUCUCCAAUACCACAACCGAAUACAUCUACAUAGGCAUGAAGAUCUUCUUUGGAGAUAUCGAUGCCUAACAUUUCACUCUUUUUUACAUGAUUUUUUGUCCCAAUACCUCUUCAAAGCACUGCAUAAUCUUCCAUAGAUUGUCCACAAUUGUUUCAUCUACCUUGCAAAAGAGGAUGGUGUCAUUUGCAAAUAGAGAUGAGAUAUUGACCCCCUAUAUUGAAUUCCUUUGAAGCCCUCUAUAAGACCCACUUGUUGACCUUUUUCUAACGUUUUUGUUUAGAGCUUCCAUUAUCACCACAAUGAGAAAAGAAGAGAGCGGAUCUCCUUCACGUAAUUCCCGCAAAACAUUAAAGAGGCCUUUUGGAGACCCGUUUACCAGGAUUGAAAAGGAGGUGAGAAGCAUUCCAGCAUCUAAAGAAUCCAUUUGUUUCUGCAACCAAUUCUUUUCAGCAUAUACUCGAGGAACCUCCAGUCAACAUGAUCAGAGUCCUUCUCAAUGUCCAAUUUAUAGACCGCCCCUCUUUUCCUCUCCUUGUGCCUUGAACUAGUACAUUCAUGAGCCAGAAGAGUGCUAUCUAAGGUAUGUCUAUUUGCAACAAAAGAUCCUUGAUUCUCCGAUAUGACUGAAGGUAACACCAUCUUAAGCCUGGACACAGAUGUUAGCCAAAAUCUUAUACGGGCUCCCAAUUAGGCUGAUUGGGUGAAAGUCCUUUAAGUGUCUUUGCUCCGUCUUUCUUGAGAAUAAGAUUCAUCUUGCCACAUGAAAUAUAGUAAAUUUGAUAGGUAAGAGUAUCGAGUGGAGUUAAGUGAGGAAGAAUUAACAUAGAUUGCAUACAAGAGGCCAAGUUGAAAGGGGCUAAAAGCCAAGUAAAUUGAUGGGAUAUAUAAAUUUUGGUAUAUAUGAAGGGACAACAAUAGACAUGGGCUAAGGGUAGUGGUAGACAAUGAUUUAAAGGAUAAAGUUACAUGUGUUAAUAGAGUAGGGGAUACGCUUUUAUUAAUAAAACUUAUACUGGGCAAGGAGAUAAUCAAUGUCAUGAGUGCAUAUAUAGGAUACGAGGAGAGAAUUAAGAGACCAUUCUAGUAGGAGAUGGAUGGAUUAAUACUAAGAAGAGGCUUGCUUGAAUACAUCCCGACGUAUUGCAAUACAAUACAUUGGAAUUUUAGCCUUGUAUCUGGGUCAUUUUCUAAUGAUCCAAAUCGUUGAUAUAAUGAGUCUCACUUUGUAGGUGGAAAGUCAACAAAUAAAAGCUCUCAUUUGGAUUAUUUCAACCUUUUGAUAUUUUGGCACUUUUGUAGUGAACAUAACGGUCAUCAUAACCUUUGGAUAAUCGAAGGGCUAAAAUAUUUAAUUUCAUUGAAGAGGUUUCUUGGGCAUGCCCUAUCCAAGGGGAGCCCUAUCAACAUGGUAUCCAAAAACGGUUAUGUAAUGGUAAUUGUGGGUAUCAUUAUGUGUUAUGGGGCCAUUACACCUCUUUU